CAGGCGGCCUGGCGGAAGGAGGCGCGGGAGCAGCGCUCGUGGGACGCGGGAGCUUGGCGAGAACUCUUCCUGGACAACAGCAACUUGAUUAGGGUGAAUCACCUGCUUACCUACAAAGAAGAUUAAUAACCCCGGAGUCAAGCAUUAACCAACAGAUGUUCCAGGAAAAUGUUCCAAUCACUUGAGGCUUUCAAGUGCUGCAAGGCUCUCAGAAAUGUUUGAAUGUUACGAAGAUUCCCACCUGUGUUAGAAUGGAUUUAUGCACUCGCCUGGCACUGCUUUUGGGAUUUGGAGGGGGAAAGGGGUUCAGAAAACACAAUGGUGGAUUUCUUUUCAUGCAAGAUAAAAUCCAAAUUCUCAUUUCCAAAUACAAAAAAUAUUCCAGCAAAGAAACAGUCUUGUGAUAAGUGAUAUUACUGAACUGAUAUUGGAAAUGUGGUCAUUUCCAUUGGUUUAAAGUACAUACAAGAAUAAUUUACUAUAAAUUAUAAUAUACAAAUGUAUUUAAAAUGUUUCAGUGCUGCCUUUCUGUAGCUUAUGGUGGCUCAAGCAGAAAUACAUAGAACAAUAUUAAAUCACUAGAUUAAAUUAAAAACAGAAAAUCAUAACCGUGACUAAUAAGAAGUAAAAGAGGGCAUUUAUCUUUCUUUAUCUAUUGCUAUGAGAAAUUUGUUCUUUGGAAGUAUUUCUCCAAAACUGAGUCAAUUCUUUAAAAAAUUAACUAAAGUAGUGCAACUUCUUCUUUGCAUUCACACAUUUAGAAACAUAUUACAAGAAGCUUUCAAGUCUUAGGAAAGCUUUCACCAGUUCUCAGAAAUAAUCAGAGAUGGUUUUGCCAAUUCUUUCCUCUAAAAGAGUGGUUCCCAACCUGUGGUCCAUGGACCACCAGUGGUCCGCAAGAACUAAAAUAUGGUCUGUGGCCUCACUAUUGCAAUGAGAAUGACUCAUUAAUUAUGGUUUUCUAUCAGUGAGCAGAUGGCAACUACUGGAUGGCAAAUGUUCUUUAACAGAAACUAUGGCUGAUGUGGUCUAUACAAUGCAAUUUUCUGAAUCAGCAUCCCAAAUAACCAAACCAAAUCUAAAGUUGACCAAAAAGUGAUUCGUAACCCUUUUGGCACUAAUGUUGGAAAGUGGUCCCUGGUCAAAA